GAGACAUCUUUUCGUGUUUAGGAAUGUUUUUCUUGCUGAUCUGGUGGGUGGAAAAUGGACACCCCAGAAGACUGUGGCGAUCCGUUUUCAUGAACAUGAGGCAUCAGUUCCUGGCAUCUUGGCAAAAGUCCAAGAUGCUGUUGCAGAAGAUGGUAUGAUACUGACUGAUGGCCAGGGGAAUGAAAUCCUUGAUACAGAAGGAGCAAAAGGGUCAACGUACUGGAAGUAAAAUUCUAGGAAGGUUUUUGCUGUGCCAGAACAACAGUUCUUGGAGAUGAGAUCCAAAAGGAGAAGAUUAAGCCAACAGGAUGAGGACAGCCAGCUACCAGAGGU